AGCAGAUGUUUGUAAUCUGAAUCUAUUAUAGAUUCUUAUGAUGUUUCAGACUGAUGUCAUUAUCUCAGAUCUCCAAUCUCAUCUGAACCUGGUUCUUCUGGAUUCUUGGCUUACUCAUCUGAACGCCAAAACCCUCUUCUUCCCAGGUUGUUUGCUGUUGUGGAUGACAUUUUCUGCAUCUUUCAAGGCCACAUCGACAAUGUAGCACAUCUUAAGCAAUAGUAUGGGUUAAACAAGACUGCAAAUGAAGUGAUCAAUGUUAUUGAGGCUUACAGAACUUUGAGGGAUAGAGGUCCUUACCCUCCAGAUCAGGUUGUGAAAGUUUGCAUUCGUUCUUUAUGAUAGUGCUUCGAAGAGUACCUUUCUAGCUUCUGGUGCUUUUUCACAUCUUCUGGUGGCUUGAGCAGUUAUGAGACAAAACAUGAAAUUGCCAGACACCUAUUUUUUGCGCCACAGAUAUGAUAUGCAGUCGUAUUUUUUGGAUGUGUUGCGUAAUUAUGGGUUAAAGAUGCCUACAACCUUGGCUCGAGCUCUCCAAAAAUAUUGACCUAAAAAUGCAUUAUUGUUGGAUUAUCGACACACACCCCUAGCUAUUCUUAAAAGGUCUGAGCAACUGAUCUUGUGACUGAUCAUUAUUGCCACCAGGAGGAUAGUGAGACCUCACCAAGAGAGGUUCUCAGCUGCUCAACGACCCCGCAACAGAACUCUUUCAUCUGUUCAUGAUGCCAUAUUGGAGGACUUGGUUGUUCCAGCAGAGAUUGUUGGAAGCGUACGAAGUAUCACGUUGGCCCCAAGGAACGAAACAACACCAAGUAUUAGUUGGAGACCUUUUCAACAGUUAAUAGAAAGCCUUCAGACAAAGAUGUUGUGUUUGAGUACCCCGUCCCGUCUCUGAGGCUUAAGGAUAUGUAAUGCAUGUCCUCAUUUAUUUGACGUGAAACUACACAUUAGUGGUUCCUCCUCUGUAAUUUUGGCAGUACCAUUUGGUUUUAGAAUGCAGAGAACUAUGUGACAUUCCUAUCAAUUUUAAGUUAAAACCAUGCUGCAAUGUUAUAGA